rnacentral:rRNA from 1 species
GGACAACCUGCCCUUAGGACGGGGAUAAACCCGGGAAACUGGGUAUAAUACCCGAUAGGUCUCGAUUGCUGGAAUACAUCGAGAUUUAAAGCUCCGGCGCCUAAGGAUGGGUCUGCGGCCUAUCAGGUAGUAGUGGGUGUAGCGUACCUACUAGCCUACGACGGGUACGGGUUGUGAGAGCAAGAGCCCGGAGAUGGAUUCUGAGACACGAAUCCAGGCCCUACGGGGUGCAGCAGGCGCGAAAACUUUACAAUGCUGGCAACAGCGAUAAGGGAACCUCGAGUGCCAGGUUACAAAUCUGGCUGUCGAGAUGCCUAAAAAGCAUUUCAUAGCAAGGGCCGGGCAAGACCGGUGCCAGCCGCCGCGGUAACACCGGCGGCUCGAGUGGUAACCGUUAUUAUUGGGUCUAAAGGGUCUGUAGCCGGCCGGAUAAGUCUCUUGAGAAAUCUGGCAGCUUAACUGUCAGGCUUUCAGGAGAUACUGUCUGGCUCGAGGCCGGGAGAGGUGAGAGGUACUUCAGGGGUAGGGGUGAAAUCUUGUAAUCCUUGAAGGACCACCAGUGGCGAAGGCGUCUCACCAGAACGGACCUGACGGCAAGGGACGAAAGCUAGGGGCACGAACCGGAUUAGAUACCCGGGUAGUCCUAGCCGUAAACGAUACUCGCUAGGUGUCGGCCACGGUGCGACCGUUGUCGGUGCCGUAGGGAAGCCGUGAAGCGAGCCACCUGGGAAGUACGGCCGCAAGGCUGAAACU